rnacentral:rRNA from 2 species
AGAGUUUGAUCCUGGCUCAGGAUGAACGCUGGCGGCGUGCUUAACACAUGCAAGUCGAACGAAGCACUUUAUUUGAUUUCCUUCGGGACUGAUUAUUUUGUGACUGAGUGGCGGACGGGUGAGUAACGCGUGGGUAACCUGCCUUGUACAGGGGGAUAACAGUUGGAAACGGCUGCUAAUACCGCAUAAGCGCACGGCAUCGCAUGAUGCAGUGUGAAAAACUCCGGUGGUAUAAGAUGGACCCGCGUUGGAUUAGCUAGUUGGUGAGGUAACGGCCCACCAAGGCGACGAUCCAUAGCCGACCUGAGAGGGUGACCGGCCACAUUGGGACUGAGACACGGCCCAAACUCCUACGGGAGGCAGCAGUGGGGAAUAUUGCACAAUGGGCGAAAGCCUGAUGCAGCGACGCCGCGUGAGCGAAGAAGUAUUUCGGUAUGUAAAGCUCUAUCAGCAGGGAAGAUAAUGACGGUACCUGACUAAGAAGCACCGGCUAAAUACGUGCCAGCAGCCGCGGUAAUACGUAUGGUGCAAGCGUUAUCCGGAUUUACUGGGUGUAAAGGGAGCGCAGGCGGUGCGGCAAGUCUGAUGUGAAAGCCCGGGGCUCAACCCCGGUACUGCAUUGGAAACUGUCGUACUAGAGUGUCGGAGGGGUAAGCGGAAUUCCUAGUGUAGCGGUGAAAUGCGUAGAUAUUAGGAGGAACACCAGUGGCGAAGGCGGCUUACUGGACGAUAACUGACGCUGAGGCUCGAAAGCGUGGGGAGCAAACAGGAUUAGAUACCCUGGUAGUCCACGCC